CCUACGGGUGGCAGCAGUGGGGAAUAUUGGGCAAUGGGCGCAAGCCUGACCCAGCAAUGCCGCGUGAAGGCAGAAGCCCCACGGGCUGUAAACUUCUUUUCACAGGGACGAAGAAAGUGACGGCACCGGCUGAAUAAGCCACGGCUAACUACGUGCCAGCAUCCGCGGUAAUAAGUAGGUGGCAAGCGUUAUCCGGAUUUACUGGGUGUAAAGGGCGUGUAGGCGGGACAGCAGGUCAGACGUGAAAUACCUGGGCGCAACCUUGGCACUGCCGUUGAAACUGUUCUGCUUGAGUGAAGGGGAGGCAGGCGGAAUGGCGGGUGUAGCGGUGAAAUGCGUAGAUAUA
rnacentral:rRNA from 1 species